GCGGCCGCGCCGAGCGUACCGGCGCAUGCGCGGCUCCGCCUCCCUCUUCCGCAUGCGCUUUCUCAGCCUUUCUCGUAACGGAUUUUUGUUCCAACACCCGAAUUUGGCGCUUUUCGCCUCAAUUUUGCUCUUCCGGGACUCCAAAAUGCUCCAGAGCGGGUGGGGAGAGGAGAGGAGGAGGGAGGGAGUUGUCACCAAGGGGUUCGGGAUGAAGGCGCCAGCGUUUGGGGAAGUUUUGAGGAAGAUUCAGGGAGUUUUGGGGUGAAACAGCCCCCAGGUGUGACAAUAAAACCCCCAGAUGUGACAAUAAAA